UACGUAGGGUGCGAGCGUUGUCCGGAAUUAUUGGGCGUAAAGAGCUUGUAGGCGGUUUGUCGCGUCUGCUGUGAAAAUCCGGGGCUCAACCCCGGACUUGCAGUGGGUACGGGGCAGACUAGAGUGUGGUAGGGGAGACUGGAAUUCCUGGUGUAGCGGUGAAAUGCGCAGAUAUCAGGAGGAACACCGGUGGCGAAGGCGGGUCUCUGGGCCGAUACUGACGCUGAGACGCGAAAGCGUGGGGAGCAAACAGG
rnacentral:rRNA from 1 species